rnacentral:rRNA from 1 species
UUUCCUAGUGGCGAACGGGUGAGUAACGCGUUGGUGAUCUGCCCCGAAGUGUGGAAUAACAGCCCGAAAGGGUUGCUAAUACCGCAUGUGGUCAUGAGGUUUAGAAACUCAUGUCUAAAGGAGAAAUCCGCUUUGGGAGGAGCCUGCGUCCCAUCAGCUAGUUGGUAGGGUAACGGCCUACCAAGGCGAUGACGGGUAGGGGGCCUGAGAGGGUGGCCCCCCACAAUGGUACUGAAACACGGACCAU